GAUGAAUGCUGGCGGCGUGCCUAAUACAUGCAAGUCGAGCGAACGGACGAGAAGCUUGCUUCUCUGAUGUUAGCGGCGGACGGGUGGGUAACACGUGGAUAACCUACCUAUAAGACUGGGAUAACUUCGGGAAACCGGAGCUAAUACCGGAUAAUAUUUUGAACCGCAUGGUUCAAAAGUGAAAGACGGUCUUGCUGUCACUUAUAGAUGGAUCCGCGCUGCAUUAGCUAGUUGGUAAGGUAACGGCUUACCAAGGCAACGAUGCAUAGCCGACCUGAGAGGGUGAUCGGCCACACUGGAACUGAGACACGGUCCAGACUCCUACGGGAGGCAGCAGUAGGGAAUCUUCCGCAAUGGGCGAAAGCCUGACGGAGCAACGCCGCGUGAGCGAUGAAGGUCUUCGGAUCGUAAAACUCUGUUAUUAGGGAAGAACAUAUGUGUAAGUAACUGUGCACAUCUUGACGGUACCUAAUCAGAAAGCCACGGCUAACUACGUG
rnacentral:rRNA from 1 species